rnacentral:rRNA from 1 species
UACGUAAGGGGCAAGCGUUGUCCGGAAUCACUGGGCGUAAAGCGCACGUAGGCGGUUUGUCAAGCUGGGGGUGUAAGCUCUGGGCCUAACCCAGAAAUUGCCUCCAAAACUAGCAUACUUGAGUAUUAGAGGGGAAGCUGGAAUUCACGGUGUAGCGGUGAAAUGCGUAGAUAUCGUGGAGAACACCCGUGGCGAAGGCGGGCUUCUGGCUAAUUACUGACGCUGAGGUGCGAAAGCUAGGGGAGCGAACGGG